rnacentral:pre_miRNA from 1 species
AAAAAGGCAAACCCUGAGUUUCCGUGUCCAACUUUGAUUGUCCGUCUUAUAUGAAAUUUUUUUAUAAUUCGUAUUUUCAUUGUUGUUAGAUGAUAAUACAUGAUUAAUAUUUUAUGCGUGACUUGUCUUUUUAAUUUUUUUUAUAUUUUUUUCAAAUAAGACGGACGGUCAAACAUUGGGCACGGAAACC